rfam:Dipodomys ordii contig_35675, whole genome shotgun sequence.
GGCACUGUGGCUCAAGUGGUAGAGCAUUAGCCUUGAGCUAAAGAGCUGAGGAACAGCUCCCAGUCCCA